CAAACACUGACAGGAGUGUUUCAGAUGUGACUGCCGGUGACGAACCGAUACCUGAACAAUCCUGUCCUGAAAUAAAUGUUUUUUUUUUUUCUGAACAAUUAAAAAAAAAGUUUAAAAACAGACGAACGGCUCACUUGCCUGCAGGUGUCCAAACACUGUUCUCUACUAAAAUUGAAUCAGACAUUUUGGGGACACCAAAACAGCAAAGAUGGCUGCUCUCUGGUGGAUCACUGUGACGAUGGUCUUCUGUCUGUCUGCUGGAAGUUUGGCUGAGAUAGACUUAGACCAGCUCGCAGGACUUGCAAAACAAAUAAGAACAAAUAUCAAAUGCGGGUA